GAUGAACGCUGGCGGCGUGCCUAAUACAUGCAAGUCGAGCGAACAGACGAGGAGCUUGCUCCUCUGACGUUAGCGGCGGACGGGUGAGUAACACGUGGAUAACCUACCUAUAAGACUGGGAUAACUUCGGGAAACCGGAGCUAAUACCGGAUAAUAUAUUGAACCGCAUGGUUCAAUAGUGAAAGACGGUUUUGCUGUCACUUAUAGAUGGAUCCGCGCCGCAUUAGCUAGUUGGUAAGGUAACGGCUUACCAAGGCAACGAUGCGUAGCCGACCUGAGAGGGUGAUCGGCCACACUGGAACUGAGGCACAGACCAGACUCCUACAGGAGGCAGCAGUAGGGAAUCUUCCGCAAUGGGCGAAAGCCUGACAGAGCAACGCCGCGUGAGUGAUGAAGGUCUUCGGAUAGUAAAACUCUGUUAUUAAGGAAGAACAAAUAUGUAAGUAACUAUGCACGUCUUGACGGUACCUGAUCAGAAAGCCACGGCUAACUACGUG
rnacentral:rRNA from 1 species